CCCUGCUCAGGACUCCAGCAUACCAGGGCAUUUGAAAAACCCCAAACCAAUUGCAUCGACUGCUCUGAUGAAUUCAGCGUGGACCAAGCUCACCCCAGCUCAGAGCUUGUGGUAAAAAGCAGAGCCCAGUCCAGCCACUGUAAAAAGAGCUAAAUUGUUCGUAACUCUGAGGUUCUACUGCCUGAGUGAAGAUGGAUGCUGUGUUCAUCACCCCCUCAGGGAAGGAGGGAUUUGCCUGUGGAGAAGGCAUGAACUGAGAGAUCUGGGGUCUAAUGAAGCUUGGCCACAGACAUCUUGUACGACGUCAGGGGAGUCACUGUGCCUCUCUUUACAGUGGGGUUAUAAAGGUACUCGACUCACAGGGCUAUUGUGAGGCAUAUUUCAGUCAUGUUUGUGGAGUGUGUUGAGAUUUUAGAGACAUACGAGGCUAUGGAUCUAGUGCUCUAGUAUCAGUCCAUUGAGGAACUAAGAGCCUGCCACCUGCUGUACCCACAAAAAUGGCCAUGUCUACUUUACAGUCCUGUGCUCAAUUCCCCUUGGAGCAAUCCCACAUUUAGGAGGGCUUUGCUGUCUCUGGCAAACAUUUCCAUCAUCUUUGAAUCUAUGGUCUUGUGCGCUACCUGGGAUAAAAGCCAUUAAGACUCAUGCGUCAGGGCCUAAACUGAUCUCUAGCUGAGUUCAGGAGAUGACUUCCCCUAACCCUGGUCUCUGUGGGAUAGGCUGCCCAGUUAGAUGCAUUACACGGAGUUCCCUGCCUUCCUUGGUCAUCUAGUAUUGGCCACUGUCAUAGCCAGCAGGCAGGAUUAGGUGUUUAAUGAUACUUAGCAAUUCAAAUGCUUUAUGCUCACAAGGCACUGCCCCAAUGUUAAUUAAUGCUCACAACGUUCCUGGGAAUUAAAUAAAUUAACCCCAGUGCUCCAGAUUGAAGAAUACGAGGCAACAGUACCAAGGUUGCGCACUCAGUUAGUGGCAGAUUCUGGAAAUGGUGUUCAUUGAACUGCCCCAAUCUGCGGGGAACAAUCCCCCAAGUUAUAUUGUAACAAAGAACCCUAUUCCUAAUAAACAGCAUCAUCGUCAGUGAAAGUGACCUAGUAGCGGAUUGAAGUCAAUGGGAGUUACUGAAUGUUUUAUCAGACAGCUGCAGAAAUGGGCUUUAACUACAUCUUCGCAGACAAGAGGAAGUGUGACGCAGAACUUACUACUGCAAAUGCGAUGCUGGCUAGCGCAGCCAGGCAGAAACAGACCUUGGUGGAUUCUAUAAAUUUUCUGGUCUUGUCGACGUACAGUCCCAGAAGGAAGGCACCAAGUAACCCAAACACAGUGAACAAUGCACCAUUCAGGCCUGCAAAGAACUAUAGGGGAAUAGAAAUGAGUGUCUGAGCAACUAGUAUUAGGAGGACACGCAUCUAGAAUAGCAAGCAACUGGCCCAGGUGGUGACAAUCCCAAAAGGAGUCCGGAGGAAGUGCUCAGAUCCUGUAGAGAUGGGAGUGGAGUAAGACCAUACGUGGAUAAAAGCAGACUGGGAUCUGUUCCAGAAGAGUCGAAAAGCAGGUGAACAUCCCAAUCCCUGCUCCAAAACAGACCAUCAGGAUGAUGUAUGGUUUAUUUCUCAGAAGCUGCAAAGUUCAGAAUGUAGGUUUAAAAAAAUAGGUUCCAGUUACUUGGGCAACAAAUCUCAGCACCCGCCCACCUGCUGGCUUGCUCACAACAACAGGAUCGCUGAGGGUGACAAUGACACCAUGGAAGCCAGGCAGCAUGUACACUUGCUCCUGCCUCAGCAUAGAGGGCUGGACAUGGUGACCUCUCAAGGUCACAUCCUGCCCUACAGUUCUAGAAUGCUAUGUUUGAUUCCGGGGUUUACUUCUCUGCACCGCAUGACGCUUACCAUUUUCAAGCCUGUGAGAAAUGGCUGCGAGGUGGAAUAAGUGGCGCUUGCUGAUGGUGGAGUUGGAGGGACCUUGUCGUGAACACCAGCCAUGGCGAGGAUGCAGGCUGUAACUGCAGGGAUGGCGUACAGUCCAAGCUAGGAAACCCAAAGCAAAGACACAUAACCAGGUUGCCUGACUCCAAUGCUACUGAAUAUAUAAACCAAAAUGACACUGCAUACUAA